rnacentral:rRNA from 1 species
AUUGAACGCUGGCGGCAUGCCUUACACAUGCAAGUCGAACGGCAGCACGGGAGCAAUCCUGGUGGCGAGUGGCGAACGGGUGAGUAAAGUAUCGGAACGUGCCCAGUCGUGGGGGAUAACGUAGCGAAAGUUACGCUAAUACCGCAUACGAUCUAUGGAUGAAAGCGGGGGAUCGCAAGACCUCGCGCGAUUGGAGCGGCCGAUUUCAGAUUAGGUAGUUGGUGGGGUAAAGGCUCACCAAGCCGACGAUCUGUAGCUGGUCUGACGCGGACGACCAGCCACACUGGGACUGAGACACGGCCCAGACUCCUACGGGAGGCAGCAGUGGGGAAUUUUGGACAAUGGGCGAAAGCCUGAUCCAGCCAUGCCGCGUGCAGGAUGAAGGCCUUCGGGUUGUAAACUGCUUUUGUACGGAACGAAAAGGUUUGGCCUAAUAAGCUGAGCUCAUGACGGUACCGUAAGAAUAAGCACCGGCUAACUACGUGCCAGCCGCCGCAGUAA